rnacentral:rRNA from 1 species
AUUGAACGCUGGCGGCAUGCCUUACACAUGCAAGUCGAACGGCAGCACGGGUGCUUGCACCUGGUGGCGAGUGGCGAACGGGUGAGUAAUAUAUCGGAACGUACCUUAUUGUGGGGGAUAACGCAGCGAAAGCUGUGCUGAUACCGCAUAAUCCCUAAGGGGGAAAGCGGGGGACCGUAAGGCCUCGCGCAAUUAGAGCGGCCGAUACCUGAUUAGCUAGUUGGUGAGGUAAAGGCUCACCAAGGCAACGAUCAGUAGCUGGUCUGAGAGGACGAUCAGCCACACGGGGACUAAGACACGGCCCAGACUCCUACGGGAGGCAGCAGUGGGGAAUUUUGGACAAUGGGGGCAACCCUGAUCCAGCAAUGCCGCGUGAGUGAAGAAGGCCUUCGGGUUGUAAAGCUCUUUUGUCAGGGAAGAAACAGCAGCUCUAACACAGUUUGCGAAUGACGGUACCUGAAGAAUAAGCACCGGCUAACUACGUGCCAGCAGCCGCCGUAA